rfam:Macropus eugenii Contig539492, whole genome shotgun sequence.
UGUGUAGAAAUGAACUCUUGUCAGAGUUUCAAUAGAAUUAAUAUUUUUAGUAAUAUGUUAAUGGUGAAUGUGCUAAUGUAAAGAGUUAGAAGAUUAGUGAUGCAUAAUGAAAGUAAUGCAUUCUUUUGCAUGAAAAUAGGAAUAUAAUAAAUGUCCUUCAGGUGAUUGAAGCUGCAGUAAUUUUAUUGAAGAUUAAAGUUUGAUUGACCUUUGUUAGGGUGAUUAACCCUUCUGAAAUUAAAAGCCCAGGCUAAAUUAUUCUGUCCAAUUUAAAUGCAAA